rnacentral:rRNA from 1 species
GAUGAACGCUGGCGGCGUGCCUAAUACAUGCAAGUCGAGCGAACAGAUGAGGAGCUUGCUCCUCUGACGUUAGCGGCGGACGGGUGAGUAACACGUGGAUAACCUACCUAUAAGACUGGGAUAACUCCGGGAAACCGGAGCUAAUACCGGAUAAUAUAUUGAACCGCAUGGUUCAAUAGUGAAAGACGGUUUUGCUGUCACUUAUAGAUGGAUCCGCGCCGCAUUAGCUAGUUGGUAAGGUAACGGCUUACCAAGGCAACGAUGCGUAGCCGACCUGAGAGGGUGAUCGGCCACACUGGAACUGAGACACGGUCCAGACUCCUACGGGAGGCAGCAGUAGGGAAUCUUCCGCAAAGGGCGAAAGCCUGACGGAGCAACGCCGCGUGAGUGAUGAAGGUCUUCGGAUCGUAAAACUCUGUUAUUAGGGAAGAACAAAUGUGUAAGUAACUAUGCACGUCUUGACGGUACCUAAUCAGGAAGCCACGGCUAACUACGUG